CACCCAGACUCCUACGGGAGGCAGCAGUGGGGAAUAUUGGACAAUGGGGGGAACCCUGAUCCAGCGACGCCGCGUGAGUGAAGAAGUAUUUCGGUAUGUAAAGCUCUAUCAGCAGGGAAGAAAGAAAUGACGGUACCUGACUAAGAAGCCCCGGCUAACUACGUGCCAGCAGCCGCGGUAAUACGUAGGGGGCAAGCGUUAUCCGGAUUUACUGGGUGUAAAGGGAGCGUAGACGGCAGCGCAAGUCUGAAGUGAAAUGCCGGGGCUCAACCCCGGGGCUGCAUUGGAAACUGGCAGGCUGGAGUGCCGGAGAGGCAGGCGGAAUUCCUAGUGUAGCGGUGAAAUGCGUAGAUAUUAGGAAGAACACCAGUGGCGAAGGCGGAUGACUGGACGACAACUGACGGUGAGGCGCGAAAGCGUGGGGAGCAAACAGGAUUAGAUACCCGCGUA
rnacentral:rRNA from 1 species